rnacentral:rRNA from 1 species
AUUUGGGAGAAUGGAGGUAUAUAUCUAAUGAUGCAUAUAUACAAAUCGACUAUGUCGUAUAAAGUUCUAAAUAGAUAAUUGAUUAUGACAGAUUUCUAUUUAUGUGUCUCGACCAAUUCUUGUGCCAGCAGUCGCGGCAACACAAGUGAGACUAGUGUUAUUCAUCUUUAUUAGGUUUAAAGGGUACCUAGACGGUUUUUUUUAGCGUGAAAAAUGUACAAAAAAAACUAGAGUUUUAUAUGAGAGGUAAAUAUUAGGACUAUUGGUGUAGAGAUGAAAUUUUUUGAUACUAAUUGGAUGUAUAAUGGCGAAGGCGAUCCUCUAUUUAUAAACUGACGUUAAGGGACGAAGGCUUGGGGAGCGAAUAGGAUUAGAUACCCUAGUAGUCCAGGCAGAAAAUUAUGAAUGUUAUAGACUAACUAUAUAAUUAGUGUAUAAAUGAAAGUGUAAGCAUUCCACCUCAAGAGUAAUGUGGCAACGCAGGAACUGAAAUCAU